rnacentral:rRNA from 1 species
AGAGUUUGAUCAUGGCUCAGAUUGAACGCUGGCGGCAUGCCUUACACAUGCAAGUCGAACGGCAGCACGGGUGCUUGCACCUGGUGGCGAGUGGCGAACGGGUGAGUAAUACAUCGGAACGUGCCCAGUCGUGGGGGAUAACGUAGCGAAAGCUACGCUAAUACCGCAUACGAUCUACGGAUGAAAGCGGGGGAUCGCAAGACCUCGCGCGAUUGGAGCGGCCGAUGGCAGAUUAGGUAGUUGGUGGGGUAAAGGCUCACCAAGCCGACGAUCUGUAGCUGGUCUGAGAGGAUGAUCAGCCACACUGGGACUGAGACACGGCCCAGACUCCUACGGGAGGCAGCAGUGGGGAAUUUUGGACAAUGGGCGCAAGCCUGAUCCAGCCAUUCCGCGUGCAGGACGAAGGCCUUCGGGUUGUAAACUGCUUUUGUACGGAACGAAAAGGCUCUGGUUAAUACCUGGGGCUCAUGACGGUACCGUAAGAAUAAGCACCGGCUAACUACGUGCCAGCAGCCGCGGUAAU